GGAUGUUGACAGAAGAUAGAGAGCACUGAGAGGACAUGAAGUGCAUAUAUAUAAUGCACCUCGCUUCUUUGUGCUCUUUAUACUUCUGUCAUUACCCU
rnacentral:pre_miRNA from 1 species